rnacentral:rRNA from 1 species
AGCGGCGGACGGGUGAGUAACGCGUGGGUAACCUGCCUCAUACAGGGGGAUAACAGUUGGAAACGGCUGCUAAUACCGCAUAAGCGCACAGUACCGCAUGGUACCGUGUGAAAAACUCCGGUGGUAUGAAAUGGACCCGCGUCUGAUUAGCUAGUUGGUGGGGUAACGGCCUACCAAGGCGACGAUCAGUAGCCGACCUGAGAGGGUGACCGGCCACAUUGGGACUGAGACACGGCCCAA